rnacentral:lncRNA from 1 species
AUGCAGCCGGCCGUCUCGGGUCCUGCCCCACUGUGGCGUCUGGGACGUCUGUGCAGCCCUGGGCUCUGGAGUCACGGUGUGGAGCCAGCUCCACCCGAGCUGACCACCACGGGCAUGUCCUGUCUGCCGGGACAGGGGCCGCUCUCCUCGGCUCAGCCGCUGCCCCCGCUCCUUGCCCACAGCCCCCUGGGCCCGGCUCAUCCCCUCAGUGACCACACCCCUUCCCCUGGGUCCAUCCUCCCUCCCAGCCGGGGGGCUGCACCCCCCCAGGCACAGCCCCCAUCACUCCAGGCUAACAAGUGCAUCUGUGGCCUUUGCAGGGACCGUUCCCUCUGCCGGGAAUGCUUGUCCCCCUUUGUCCAGCCCUGCUGGCCCUUCCUUCGGGCCUGUGGCCCAACCUCCUGUCCAGGGAGUCAUCCCCCCGCGUGGAGUCCCCUGGCGGCCCUUCUACCACAAGCCUCAUGCCACAUGCCUCACGCGGUUUGCAGCCUGCCCGCCCGCCCCGGGCAGGACCCCACGUUGGGCAGCACCACGUGUGGGCACAGCACGUGGGGGGGGGCAGCCCGGGCCCAGUCCUGGCAGGCGGGUGGGUGGGUGGGUGCAGCCCAGGGAAACCAGGAAGGGGUGUGCCUUGUUCCCAAACAGGAAGAUGCGCCGAGCUGGCGUCACCGGGAGGGGGCUGUUGCAAUCCCGAGGGGCGUUUCCUCAGGCCGCGAGGCGAUUGGGAGCCCAGGAAGCCCGCGAGGACAGCCAGCGGCCGGGCAGGGCCUUCUCCCGGGAAAAUGAAUGCUGUGCCUCCCUGGACGCACUUUCACAGCUGAGGUUAAGGCAAAGGCCCAGGAGCUCUGCAGGUGGGUGUCCGCCUUCGGCUCAGGGCGCGACCCCGGCGUCCCGGGAUCGAGUCCUGCAUCCCCGCAGGGAGCCUGCUUCUCCCUCCGCCUGUGUCUCUGCCUCUCUCUGUGUCUCUCAUGAAUAAAUAAAUAAAAUCUUAAAAAAAAAAAAGAUAA